rnacentral:rRNA from 1 species
UGGGGAAUAUUGGACAAUGGGGGCAACCCUGAUCCAGCCAUGCCGCGUGAGUGAAGAAGGCCUUCGGGUUGUAAAGCUCUUUUGGCGGGGACGAUGAUGACGGUACCCGCAGAAUAAGCACCGGCUAACUUCGUGCCAGCAGCCGCGGUAAUACGAAGGGUGCGAGCGUUGUUCGGAGUCACUGGGCGUAAAGGGCGCGUAGGCGGUUAUCCAAGUUAGGUGUGAAAGCCCUGGGCUCAACCCGGGAAUUGCACUUGAUACUGGAUGGCUAGAGAGAGGAAGAGGAUAGCGGAAUUCCUAGUGUAGAGGUGAAAUUCGUAGAUAUUAGGAAGAACACCAGUGGCGAAGGCGGCUAUCUGGUCCUUUUCUGACGCUGAGGCGCGAAAGCGUGGGGAGCAAACA